GCUACACAUGCAGUCGAGCGGUAGCACGGGAGAGCUUGCUCUCUGGGUGACGAGCGGCGGACGGGUGAGUAAUGUCUGGGAAACUGCCUGAUGGAGGGGGAUAACUACUGGAAACGGUAGCUAAUACCGCAUGAUGUCNCAAGACCAAAGUGGGGGACCUUCGGGCCUCACGCCAUCGGAUGUGCCCAGAUGGGAUUAGCUAGUAGGUGGGGUAAUGGCUCACCUAGGCGACGAUCCCUAGCUGGUCUGAGAGGAUGACCAGCCACACUGGAACUGAGACACGGUCCAGACUCCUACGGGAGGCAGCAGUGGGGAAUAUUGCACAAUGGGCGCAAGCCUGAUGCAGCCAUGCCGCGUGUGUGAAGAAGGCCUUAGGGUUGUAAAGCACUUUCAGCGAGGAGGAAGGCAUCAAAGUUAAUANCUUUGGUGAUUGACGUUACUCGCAGAAGAAGCACCGGCUAACUCCGUGCCAGCAGCCGCGGUAAUACGGAGGGUGCAAGCGUUAAUCGGAAUUACUGGGCGUAAAGCGCACGCAGGCGGUUUGUUAAGUCAGAUGUGAAAUCCCCGAGCUUAACUUGGGAACUGCAUUUGAAACUGGCAAGCUAGAGUCUUGUAGAG
rnacentral:rRNA from 1 species